GACGAACGCUGGCGGCGUGCCUAAUACAUGCAAGUCGAACGCAGUGGGGACGGGUGAGUCACACGUGGGUAACCUCCCAUCAGAGGGGAUAACAAUUGGAAACAGGUGCUAAACCGAUACUGAUGGAUGGACCCGCGGUUCAUUAGCUAGUUGGUGAGGUAACGGCUCACAAAGGCCACGAUGCAUAGCCGACCGGGGAGGGGGAUGGGCCACACUGGGACGGAGACACGGCCCAGACUCCUACGGGAGGCAGCAGUAGGGAAGCGUCGGCAAUGGACGAAAGUCUGACCGAGCAACGCCGCGUGAGUGAAGAAGGUGUUCGGAUCGUAAAACUCUGUUGUUAGAGAAGCGGUAUCUAACCAGAAAGCCACGGCUAACUACGUGCCAGCCGCCGCGGUAAUUC
rnacentral:rRNA from 1 species